UCCUACGGGAGGCAGCAGUGGGGAAUUUUGGACAAUGGGGGCAACCCUGAUCCAGCCAUGUCGCGUGAGUGAAGAAGGCCUUCGGGUUGUAAAGCUCUUUCGGCAGGAACGAAACGGUCCGCGCUAACACUGCGGACUACUGACGGUACCUGCAGAAGAAGCACCGGCUAACUACGUGCCAGCAGCCGCGGUA
rnacentral:rRNA from 1 species